UCGGGAAUAUUGCGCAAUGGAGGAAACUCUGACGCAGUGACGCCGCGUGCAGGAAGAAGGUUUUCGGAUUGUAAACUGCUUUAGACAGGGAAGAUAAUGACAGUACCUGUAAAAUAAGCUCCGGCUAACUACGUGCCAGCAGCCGCGGUAAUACGUAGGGAGCAAGCGUUAUCCGGAUUUAUUGGGUGUAAAGGGUGCGUAGACGGGAAGGCAAGUUGGUUGUGAAAUCCCUCGGCUUAACUGAGGAACUGCAACCAAAACUAUCUUUCUUGAGUGCUGGAGAGGAAAGUGGAAUUCCUAGUG
rnacentral:rRNA from 1 species